UACAGAGGUCCCAAGCGUUGUUCGGAUUCAUUGGGCGUAAAGGGUGCGUAGGUGGCAUGGUAAGUCGGGUGUGAAAUCCCGGGGCUCAACCCCGGAACUGCACUCGAUACUACCGUGCUCGAGUACUGGAGAGGAGACUGGAAUUUACGGUGUAGCAGUGAAAUGCGUAGAUAUCGUAAGGAAGACCGGUGGCGAAGGCGACCACCUGGACUGAUACUGACACUGAGGUGCGAAAGCGUGGGGAGCAAACAGG
rnacentral:rRNA from 1 species